rnacentral:snRNA from 1 species
AAACUUACCUGGUUGGGUGGCUUUCCCGAUCUGGAAGGCGGGAAUCCUAUGGUGAGGCACGUCCACUGCACUUUGGCAUGGGCUGACCCGUGUGGCUGCUUCGAGUUGAAGUAAGCAAACAGCUAAAUUUUUGCGUGUGGGGAUGCGUUCGCGAGGCCAUG